UUCAUGUAAUCCAGGGCCAUGUGAACUCA
rnacentral:piRNA from 1 species